rnacentral:rRNA from 1 species
CCCCACGGGGCGCAGCAGGCGCGAAAACUAUGCAAUGCGGGAAACCGUGACAGGGGAACUCCGAGUGCCCGUAUAAUCGGGCUGUCCAUCAGUUAGGUAACGGGAAGAGUAGGACCGGUA